UCUGCUCAGAACAGCUGUGUCCUCACCCCC
rnacentral:piRNA from 1 species